UUCAAGUUUCUAAGAGCAAACGGUGGAUGCCUUGGCAUCUGGAGCCGAAGAAGGACGUAGUAAUCUGCGAUAAGCCUCGGGGAGUUGAUAAACGGACUUUGAUCCGAGGAUUUCCGAAUGGGGAAACCCCGCUGGGCCCUUUG
rnacentral:rRNA from 1 species